UCAUUUAGAUGAAAAGAAACCCUGUUCUCUUCCUUUAACUUACCAGUACAUAUUCUAUUUACACAGUAGGCAAGGGCCCUGGAGCUGGAACAGCUACAGUUGAGAGGAUGAUCCCUGGUGAGCACAUAAAGAGUCCAGGUCAGCCACCUUUCCUCCUAGCAGGCCUCCUUCCCAGCAGUCCCCACUCCUCCCUCAGCUCCUGCCAGGUGGACAAAACCUCAAGAAGAUGCCCAGUGUGCUGCAGCACUAAAGUGGAGCUGGCAGUGGCCAGGCUCUGCUCUUGGGCACCUCAGCAUCCUUGGAGGCUGGGUUUGCAGUUUGAAGUGGAAUCCUAUUCUCACUGUAGUCAGAGCAAGUGAAGGCAGCUCUGCAGAUGCUCUUUAACCCAGCAGAUGCCUGGAGAGUCACCUCAGCUUGUGUUUGCAGGUGAACUCAAUAGACUACAUCUCUGUUUGAUGUUGGUUGACUUGCACAUGAUAAAAGUUCUUAGAUUUACUUUCCAGCAGGAAAUAAAUGUUGAGUGAAGAUGUGUUCCCAAGAAA